rnacentral:rRNA from 1 species
AGAGGGGUGCGAGCGUUAAUCGGAAUUACUGGGCGUAAAGGGUGCGUAGGGUGGCCUUAUAAGUCAGAUGUGAAAGCCCUGGGCUUAACCUGGGAACUGCAUUUGAAACUAUGAGGCUAGAGUUUGGUAGAGGGAAGUGGAAUUUCCGGUGUAGCGGUGAAAUGCGUAGAUAUCGGAAGGAACACCAGUGGCGAAGGCGACUUCCUGGGCCACAACUGACACUGAGGCACGAAAGCGUGGGGAGCGAACAGGAUUAGAUACCCUGGUAGUCCACGCUGUAAACGAUGAGUACUAGAUGUUAGGGAGCUUAGACUCUUUAGUAUUGUAGCUAACGCGCUAAGUACUCCGCCUGGGGACUACGGCCGCAAGGUUA